UUUUUUUGUCUAAUAAAAGAGAUAAUACAAGGCUAACAGGAGUCCCAUCCUUGAAUAAUCAUCAGCAGUUGUUGUUUAUUUAACCGAAGCCUGUUUGAUUAGAAAAUUACCUUAUGUUGUUGAUUUUUUUUAAAGCCCAGUUUUAGAAACAAACAUAAGUAGCAAGACACAGUAAGUAGCUGUUUACUGUGCUGAGUAGUGCCAAUUUCACAUAUCUUGCUCAGCUCGCAUGAACUCUAGAAAUCCCCACGUUCAUGCUUGCUCAGUCCAACUUUCAUUUUAUUUGAUGUGUUUCUUAAGAGACAAAUAUGUUGCUGGAUGUGUCUUGCACAUUCUUAGGUCCUCGCUCAGGCUGCUGCUUCAUUGUGAGUACAGCCAUCUUGGAUGGCAAGAGGUAUUCAAAGAAACUGGCAACCAGGAUUCACUAAGGAAUGGAGAUCUCCUGCUAAGCAAGAGCUACUGUGGUCACUGAGUGUCUGUGAAAUGAAAUGAAAACUCUGCUUUAAAAGGAUCUGCUGCUAGCUCUGACUGAUGUAUGUUCACCUUCAGCAGGGUAGCAAUGCAUCUGCAGUUAGUAUUUUAUCUGGUUUGGGUUUUACUUUCCACACUGAGAAAGGCAGUGAUGUUGAUAGCUCAGUGCGUGACAGAGAGCCUAAAAACAUCCAAAAGGAGUUGUCGUAAAAGGAAGAAUAUUGAUUACUCUCUGUCUUCGGUGACUGCUGAGUUAACUUGUGGCAGGUGCAUAUGCAAGAUUAUUGUGGACUGGCAAAUAAAAUAAACUGAAUACUUGAAAUAAAUUUGUUGAGAAAAUAGUAAGAAUUGGUGUGAUUUCUCAUCUUUCAUUUACCUUUUCUUGUACAGCUCUUUUCUUUGCCAGUGAUAGCAAAGCAUAAAUAAUACCUUAUUCUCUAUUUUAACUAGUUCCAUGUAUUAAUUAUAUAUUUUAAUCCAUAAUUAAUUGGUUUUGCCCAUUCUCCUUCACAGUGAUUUGCUAGUUGAAUCUAUUUAUGCUAGGCUGUUCACGUAGGGUAGCUCACUGAACGAGCACAGACAUCACAACACUUAAUGUUCUAUAUCUAGACCGGAAUCAAUCUUCAGUGAGUUAGGUGUAUAGGUCUAGGUAGGUCUAGGUAGACUGCCUUUAUGCAUGCAAGGAGUCCAGAUGUUUUACAUCCAUCACUUCACAUCAUUUACCACCUAGGCUGGACAUGCCCUAAGAUGCUUCAUCUUCUGUCAGCAGAGCUCUUUACAUCCAGAACUGCUUAAGGCUUGAUACCUGCAGAUUACCUUAACAUCUUCAUAAAAUGGCUAGCAUACUUAUGUUCCAGCCCACACUCUUCAAGAAUGUCAGUGGGCAUUAAGGUCAUGUCCCUUGCUUAGAAUUUGGUCAUGAUUCUUGGUCAUUUCAAUCUGUAUUAGAUUUCUCUCCUGCUUUAUCAAUGUUUGAAACAAUUUUAGCAAUGCGUCCUGAAGGCAAAGUAUACUAGCCUUGUAUGGAGUUUCUGUGAAGAGAACAGAUCUCUUCCCAGUUCCAUCAAAAGAUUUUUGAUUACUUAAAAUUUCAGAUUAGCCACGCUGACUGGAUCCAGUGCUCACAGAGGUACUGACAUUACUUACAGGCUUACAAAUCACCAUGUAUUUCAAAGCUUUCUUGUGCAUACACUGAUUGAUAUUUGUAGUAACAAGUCAUAUAUCUUAUUAUUGUGCUUACUUGUUAUUAAUAUAAGAAUUUAUUGGCUAAAUCUUGAUGCCAAGAAACCAAUCCGGUCUGACAUAAGGCCUUGUGACAUCAAAACAACUCCCACUAUCUGAAAUAAGGAACGAAAUAAGGGACUGUGCACUUUCACCAAGGGGUGAAUGUAUGUCCACUGAGAUCAAAGCAAAGAACUUCCAAAUUCCAGCAUCAGGGGAACCAGAUUACCCAGGCAAAGCAGUGGCAUAUUCAGUGACUGAGGAUUUCACUGCCCUCUUGAAAACAAAAGGUGUGAUAACCUAUAGGACAGACUGUAGGCAAUAGCCAUUUGCUUUAAAAAUGAUAGAAAUACUAGUCACAUCUACUCACAUACACAUCCACAUCAGCACUUUGUUUUUAGAAGUCUGGCUUUCAUCAUAUUGCAUUAAUUUGCAAGGUAAGCUCUCUUGUUUUGUAUUGCAAUGCUGGUGAGCUUAGGAGGUUCACAGUAUAUUGCAAACUAGCUUUUAAAGACAGCAGUAAACAGUAUAAAUAAAUAUCCGGAUCAGAAUCCAACUUUUGAAGCCAUAGGGAGAGCACAAGUGUUUCUAUAACCUUCCUGUGGAGUUUCCUGUUUUAGACAUUUAACUGCAUUACUUUUAUAGCCUUCUGCAUUUCUAUUUCAACCUCUGGUAAAAAAAAAAAUCUGAUAAAUCACCUUAUCUUUUACUAAAUGUUUUUCAUUGUUUAUCCCUUAUUCCUUCAGCAAUGUUGUCUGCAAGUUUAAUCUUAAUUAAAUAUACGAUCAACUACUUUGCUUGAUCAGGGUCUUAUACAUCACAUAAGCUGGUGUUUUUCCAGUUAAACUUUUUUU
ensembl:lncRNA